AGUAAAUAGAUACCCGGGUAGUCCACGCCGUAAACGAUGAUAACUAGCUGUCCGGGUUCAUAGAACUUGGGUGGCGCAGCUAAACGCAUUAAGUUAUCCGCCUGGGGAGUACGGUCGCAAGAUUAAAACUCAAAGGAAUUGACGGGGGCCUGCACAAGCGGUGGAGCAUGUGGUUUAAAUUCGAAGCAACGCGCAGAACCUUACCAGCGUUUGACAUCCUGAUCGCGGAUUAGAGAGAUCUUUUCCUUCAGUUCGGCUGGAUCAGUGACAGGUGCUGCAUGGCUGUCGUCAGCUCGUGUCGUGAGAUGUUGGGUUAAGUCCCGCAACGAGCGCAACCCUCAUCCCUAGUUGCCAUCAUUCAGUUGGGCACUCUAAGGAAACUGCCGGUGAUAAGCUGGAGGAAGGUGGGGAUGACGUCAAGUCCUCAUGGCCCUUACGCGCUGGGCUACACACGUGCUACAAUGGCAACUACAGUGGGCAGCAACCUCGCGAGGGGUAGCUAAUCUCCAAAAAGUUGU
rnacentral:rRNA from 1 species